GCCCCUGUAGCUCAGUGGAUAGAGCGGCUGCCUUCUAAGCAGCGGGUCGCAGGUUCGAAUCCUGCCGGGGGCACAA
rnacentral:tRNA from 1 species